CCUACGGGUGGCUGCAGUGGGGAAUUUUGGACAAUGGGCGCAAGCCUGAUCCAGCCAUGCCGCGUGAGUGAAGAAGGCCUUCGGGUUGUAAAGCUCUUUCAGACGGAAAGAAAUCGCGCGCUCUAACAUAGCGUGUGGAUGACGGUACCGUAAGAAGAAGCACCGGCUAACUACGUGCCAGCAGCCGCGGUAAUACGUAGGGUGCGAGCGGUAAUCGGAAUUACGGGGCGGAAAGCGUGAGAAGGAGGUGAAAUCCCCGGGCUCAACCUGGGAACUGCGUUUGUGACUGCAUCACUCGAGUACGGCAGAGGGAGGUGGAAUUCCACGUGUAGCAGUGAAAUGCGUAGAGAUGUGGAGGAACACCGAUGGCGAAGGCAGCCUCCUGGGCCAGUACUGACGCUCAUGCACGAAAGCGUGGGGAGCAAACAGGAUUAGAUACCCCAGUAGUC
rnacentral:rRNA from 1 species